CCUUUUCAUUGCCAGGAAUCAUGUCCAAAAUUAGACCCUGCAAGAGCGGAAAAAUUUGGACCAAAUGCUUGCCAACGCCCAACCAGGGCUUCCCAAGACGUCACUUCAGCGACUACUGAACUUCCAGCCAAUCAGCGACAUCGGGAAACCCCUUUCAACGACAACUAGGGGACUCCCUUUUCACAGGAGAUGCAAGUAACUUCUAGACUGUGACC